AGACGUAUAUUCCUUGCUCAUUAUCAGACAAUCACUUAUUCCCAAACCUCGUGUGGGACUAAUCGUUUUCAUUUACCAUCUCAUGGAAAACCCUUUUCGUUCCGCUUAGCCCUAUCGGGUAUUUUAGUGAUAGGUUCUGUAGGAACUGGACGAUCCUAUUUGGUCAAAUACCUAACGAAAAAUUACGAUUUUUGUUUCAUUAAGGCACGAGGGCUUCUUAUUCCCACUCAAGGCAUACUAAGAAAGCUUGCCGCGACGCGCCCUGCGUCCCGGCAAGAUCCGGCGAGCGACAAGCUUCCGGACAGGACAAGACGACAGCCGCGGCAAGGAGCUUGCCGCGGGAAACCCCCACUUCAUGCCCGCGCUCCAGCUCACCUGCUAAAGUGUCGCUCUGGGACUCUCCCGAGCACACGUGGCAGGAGGCCGUGCAGCUAG
rnacentral:rRNA from 1 species